GCCGGGUGUGGUGGGUGCACGCCUGUAAUUCCAGUUACAUGGGAGGCUGAGGAAAAUGGAUUAAGGUCAGGAGUUCAAGGCCAGCCUGGGCAACAUAGCAAAAUCCUGUAUCUA
rnacentral:sRNA from 1 species